GACGAACGCUGGCGGCGUGCUUAACACAUGCAAGUCGAACGGUAAGGCCCUUCGGGGUACACGAGUGGCGAACGGGUGAGUAACACGUGGGUGAUCUGCCCUGCACUUCGGGAUAAGCCUGGGAAACUGGGUCUAAUACCGGAUAGGACCACUGCCUGCAUGGGUGGGGGUGGAAAGCUUUUGCGGUGUGGGAUGGGCCCGCGGCCUAUCAGCUUGUUGGUGGGGUGAUGGCCUACCAAGGCGACGACGGGGAGCCGGCCUGAGAGGGUGACCGGCCACACUGGGACUGAGAUACGGCCCAGACUCCUACGGGAGGCAGCAGUGGGGAAUAUUGCACAAUGGGCGCAAGCCUGAUGCAGCGACGCCGCGUGAGGGAUGACGGCCUUCGGGUUGUAAACCUCCUUCAGCACCGACGAAGCGCAAGUGACGGUAGGUGCAGAAGAAGGACCGGCCAACUACGUGCCAGCCGCCGCGGUAA
rnacentral:rRNA from 1 species